rnacentral:rRNA from 1 species
UACGGGGGGGGCAAGCGGUUGUUCGGAAUUACUGGGCGUAAAGGGCUCGUAGGCGGCCAACUAAGUCAGACGUGAAAUCCCCAGCUCAACCUGGGAACUGCGUCUGAUACUGGAUGGCUUGAAUCCGGGAGAGGGAUGCAGAAUUCCAGGUGUAGCGGUGAAAUGCGUAGAUAUCUGGAGGAAUACCGGUGGCGAAGGCGGCAUCCUGGACCGGCAUUGACGCUGAGGAGCGAAAGCCAGGGGAGCAAACGGG